AGCAGCCGCGGUAAUUCCAGCUCCAAUAGCGUAUAUUAAAGUUGUUGCAGUUAAAAAGCUCGUAGUUGAAUUUCGGGAUUGACGUGAUGGUCGUGCCUUACGGGGUAUGAACUGUUGCAGUCAAUUUCUCACCUUCUGGAGAAAUAUGAUGUCCUUAAUUGGGUGUCAUGUGGAACCAGAACUUUUACCUUGAAAAAUUAGAGUGUUUAAAGCAGGCUUAUUGCUCGAAUACAUUAGCAUGGAAUAAUAAAAUAGGACGGCAUGGUUCUAUUUUGUUGGUUUCUAGGAUCACCGUAAUGAUUAAUAGGGAUAGUUGGGGGCAUUAGUAUUCAAUUGUCAGAGGUGAAAUUCUUGGAUUUAUUGAAGACUAACUACUGCGAAAGCAUUUGCCAAGGAUGUUUUCAUUAAUCAAGAACGAAAGUUAGGGGAUCGAAGACGAUCAGAUACCGUCGUAGUCUUAACCAUAAACCUAUGCCGA
rnacentral:rRNA from 1 species